rnacentral:rRNA from 1 species
GAUGAACGCUAGCGACAGGCCUAACACAUGCAAGUCGAGGGGCAUCGGGGUGUAGCAAUACGCUGCCGGCGAACCGGCGGAUGGGUGAGUAACGCGUAUGCAACCUGCCUUCAGCAGGGGGAUAGCCCGUUGGAAAGACGGAUUAAUACCCCGUAACACAGGGGCUCCGCAUGGAGAUUAUUGUUAAAGGGAUGCUUCCUUCGGGGAGUAUUCUGGCUGAAGAUGGGCAUGCGUUCCAUUAGGUAGUUGGUUGAGGUAACGGCUCACCAAGCCUGCGAUGGAUAGGGGAACUGAGAGGUUGGGUCCCCCACACUGGUACUGAGACACGGACCAGACUCCUACGGGAGGCAGCAGUGAGGAAUCUUGGUCAAUGGACGGAAGUCUGAACCAGCCAUGUCGCGUGAAGGAGGACGGCCCUAAGGGUUGUAAACUUCUUUUGCAGGGGAAUAAAGUAUUCCACGAGAUGGGGAUAUUGCAAGUACGCUGCGAAUAAGGAUCGGCUAACU